GACCAGAUUAAAAUUUUAUAAUAUACCGUCCAUUAUCAACAUAUUAAAUACUACAGAUAUAAUAAUACCAGAACUACAAGUUAUAGAUCAUCAUCAUAAUACUGUAGUCACAUAUCACCAUGCAUGGAAACCAUUGUACGCCAGUCAGUACUUUAACUUUGAUGAAAGCAGUGGAAGGAUAUCUGUAGUUAAAGAUGUACAGUUUAAUAUAAGUAGAGUUGAUAUAUUUAUAACAGCUACUGAUGGACACACAACAACCAAACCUCAAUCUUUUCCUAUUUACAUUCACCAUGUAUCAGAAACACCACAAUUCUUAGAAAAACAGUUCCAACUUCUGGUAGACCAAACAACGGCGGACCCAGUAAUAAUACCUGAAUUGAGAAAAUAUCUAGUGACCAGAGACCAGAUGGAGGGAAUCUCUUUUAAAUUUUUACCGGCAAAAUAUACAAAUCAAUUCACCAUACAUAACGAAACGGGCGAAAUCCGAUUUAAUGAGGGGGCAAAGGUUCGAGUUGAUGAAGAUAUAGUAUUAACUGUAGAAGUUAGCUACCACAAUUUUUUAAAAGACACAGCUACCUUUAAAAUAAUAUUCACUAAAGAUACACCAGAAGAUUGGAACGUGUUGAAUCAAGUAUGGUUUAUACCAAUUAUAUCUCUGUCUAUUAUAAUUAUACUCAGCUUGUUGGCUCUCAUUUAUCUCAGAUGUGAAAAGCGUAAAUAUAUUCGUGAAAUACCCGGUAAUAAGCAUACAGCAAGAGAUAUUCAAGCUGCUGUUUAGACUCAUUAACACAACAGUAAUAUCAUUUCCCGAACUUAAUACUUCGCAACCUUUAACGUUACAAUUUCAUAUUUUAAGUUAUAUUUUUUAAAAUGUAUCAAAAUAAAGCCCUAAAAUAGAUGGUAUCUAUAAACAGACUUACCUUGUUAAAGAAUAAUCCUAUAAUCCUAUAAUUCACUAUUGCAAGUUGAGAAAUUGGAAAAAAACAUCAUUUUCAACUUCAAAUUCAAACGUUUGAAGAUAUCUAUUCCAUGGUGGGGAAUAGGAAAACAAGGGAGGUAAUUGUGUUAUUAAUUCCGGUGCGAAGAUUUUUAAGUGUGAGAAAGAUAACCUAUGAUCGUAUAAUUAUGAGUUGACAACCUAUUGAGGAGAAGACAUAGAAAUAAUUAUGUUUUGACUUUCUUAGAAAAUAUGAAAUUGUAACUUUAAAUAACCAGUGUAACUGUGUUCCUCGCGUUUACUCACCUAAAAUGAACACUUUGCAAGUUUAUUUUCUAAAUUUCAAAAUUUAAGAUUUAUUCUAACCUUAUUAAGGUGAGACAAACAUAAGAGUUUUAUGGAUAAACAAUUACUGUAUUUUAAUCGGGGCUACGUUUCAACAAUGAUUCUAUUGUCGUUCUUCAAGCUAUUCAAACAGUUUAUUAACAUACUUGUAAGAUUCCCGAGUUAUGGAUUUUCGUUUUUAAAUCCACACAAAGUUUAUUUUUAAAAAAUAUGUGCCUUAAAUCUGCUGCUCAGUAGGACAAUCAGUAAACAGAUUUUAUUUUUGAAGUAAUUCCUACCUGUCUAUCUGACUGACUGGGUUUAUGUUGUGCCUUAUUAUUAUGACAUAGGACAAUGAACGCGUUUGUAUUUGUGUCAUUUUUGAGUUACAAUUAUAUAACUCAUUCAAUCUAAUUAGAACUAUACUAAAAAUUCGUUUCGUUUAAUUUUUCGGUUGUUCACCCUACUUCCUCUUAGUCUAUACGUACAUUUCUUUAUAGGGUGCUUUAAUUCCUUCAGUACUGCGCAGAUUGUGAUUGGUAGACUAAAAAGCAACCUACAAAUCUGAACACCCCAUAUUACAAUAUAAUGCGAAAUCUUUUGAACGACAGAUUGUCGAAGGUAUCUUUAGAUGCUAAUAGAAUGAAUAUCAUACUAAACGGAACGAAAAUAACAUUUGAUUUUAAGUAGACCAUGUCACAUCAAUAAACAUUGCAGAUUAAAGAUGCAUUAUGUAAGAGCUAAAUCUUCCUAUUGCAGGUCUAAAUUUGGGCUUCAAAUGUGAUAUAAACUAUUUUUUAGACAUGGAUAAAAAUGGAUAACGAUAAAACGGAUAAUCGAGACUUAAUCUCGAUUGUCAUGUACCGUUGCUACAACAAUAAACAAUCUUCAAACAGCCAUAACGUCGCUCAGAAUAAAGUAAUUUGAAUGUUAUUUAAAUAUAUUCAUUUUUCAUUAUCUAUGUUUGAACUAUUAUUGCAAGAAUGGCCAGCUGUUUAUCUAAAUCUUACAUAAUGUAUCUUUAAGAAAAUUAUAUCCCUUUUCCUAAAAAGCGAAGUGAAGUAGCCUAUAUGUAUUUACUACCUGGGGUUAAAUAUUAAACAUCUGCUUAAAAAUAGUUCUUUUGUUCGUAUUUAUUUUGUUAUAAUCCUGAUUUUAUCUUAAUAUAUAAAAUAGUGAAUACGUAAUAAAAUAAAACGAAGCGAAAUUAUAUAUCUGUUUAUUUUAAGUAGAUUAAUUCCAUUUGUUAUAAUCCUAACUUUAUCUUACUAUAUAAAAUAGGGAAUACGAAAUAAAAUAAAACGAAGCGAAAUUAUAUAUCUGAAUACAUCUGAUUAUUUUAAGGAGAUUAAUUCCAUUUAUUCUGUGAUUAACAAACCUUUAUUAUAAUGCCCGUAAUCAUUUUAGUAGAAGUUGUUAUUUAUUUAUAUAUUAAAUGCUGUGGUAAUUUAAAUGCCGUGAUAAACCAAUUGAAGGUUUUGUAUUUAUCAUAAUAUUGUACAUAUAUAGUCUAUUUUUAA